CCUACGGGAGGCUGCAGUGAGGAAUAUUGGUCAAUGGGCGCGAGCCUGAACCAGCCAAGUAGCGUGAAGGAUGACUGCCCUACGGGUUGUAAACUUCUUUUAUAAAGGAAUAAAGUGAGGCACGUGUGCCUUUUUGUAUGUACUUUAUGAAUAAGGAUCGGCUAACUCCGUGCCAGCAGCCGCGGUAAUACGGAGGAUCCGAGCGUUAUCCGGAUUUAUUGGGUUUAAAGGGAGCGUAGAUGGGUUGUUAAGUCUGGUGUUAAAGGCGGAAGCUCAACUUCCGUAGGGCACUGGAUACUGGCGAGCUUGAAUGCGGUAGAGGUAAAGGGAAUUCCUGGUGUAGCGGUGAAAUGCGUAGAUAUCAGGAGGAACAUCGGUGGCGUAAGCGCUUUACUGGGCCGUAAUUGACACUGAGGAACGAAAGCCGGGGUAGCAAAUGGGAUUAGAUACCCCUGUAGUC
rnacentral:rRNA from 1 species